rnacentral:rRNA from 1 species
UACGGAGGAUGCAAGCGUUGUCCGGAAUCAUUGGGCGUAAAGGGUCCUGAGGUGGUUUGCUCAGUCCACUGUGAAAGUUCAGGGCUUACCCUUGAAAAUGCGGAUGGAAACUAGUAGGCUAGAGUACGGUGGGGGCAGAGGGAAUUCCCGAUGUAGCGGUGAAAUGCAUAGAUAUCGGGAAGAACACCGAUGGCGAAGGCACUCUGCUGGGCCGACACUGACACUGAAAGACGAAAGCCAGGGGAGCGAAUGGG